GGGACUUGGCGGAAGCCUAGACAUGCGAGUCGAGCGAGAUCUUCGGAUCUACGCAGGCAGGACGGGUGAGUAACGCGUGGGAAUAUGCCCUUCUCUACGGAAUAGCCCUGGGAAACUGGGAGUAAUACCGUAUACGCCCUACGGGGGAAAGAUUUAUCGGAGAAGGAUUAGCCCGCGUUGGAUUAGGUAGUUGGUGGGGUAAUGGCCUACCAAGCCGACGAUCCAUAGCUGGUUUGAGAGGAUGAUCAGCCACACUGGGACUGAGACACGGCCCAGACUCCUACGGGAGGCAGCAGUGGGGAAUCUUAGACAAUGGGGGAAACCCUGAUCUAGCCAUGCCGCGUGAGUGAUGAAGGCCUUAGGGUUGUAAAGCUCUUUCAGCUGGGAAGAUAAUGACGGUACCAGCAGAAGAAGCCCCGGCUAACUCCGUGCCAGCAGCCGCGGUAAUACGGAGGGGGCUAGCGUUGUUCGGAAUUACUGGGCGUAAAGCGCACGUAGGCGGACCGGAAAGUUGGAGGUGAAAUCCCAGGGCUCAACCUUGGAACUGCCUUCAAAACUAUCGGUCUGGAGUUCGAGAGAGGUGAGUGGAAUUCCGAGUGUAGAGGUGAAAUUCGUAGAUAUUCGGAGGAACACCAGUGGUGAAUGCGGCUCACUGGCUCGAUACUGACGCUGAUGUGCGAAAGCGUGCGGAGCAAACAGGAUUAGAUACCCUGGUAGUCCACGCCGUACACGAUGAAUGCCAGUCGUCGGGUAGCAUGCUAUUCGGUGACGCACCUAACGGAUUAAGCAUCCCGCCUGCGGAGUACGGUCGCGAGAUUUACACUCACAGGAAUUGACGGGGGCCCACACAAGCGGAGGAGCAUGUGGUUUAAUUCGAAGCAUCGCGCACACCUUACCUACACUCUGACCCUCCUACGACAGCUCCAGAGAUGGAGUCUUCACCUCUGGUGACCUAGAGACAGAUGCUAGCUUGGUGUCGUCAGCUCGAGUCUCAGAGAUGUUCAGGUAAGUCUGGUAUCGACCCCACCCGACCCUUACGCUUGUCGCAUACAUCUCGGCCACCCUGGCACGACCUCCUAUGAUAGGUCGGAAGAAGGGAGGGGAUGAACGUCAGUCCUUCAUGCCCCUUACGUGUGGGGGAUACCACCCUGGGCUACAUAGGCGCCUAAA
rnacentral:rRNA from 1 species